GGCGAGAGGGCGGCGGCCUGCCGAUUGGGUGUUUUCGGUGGCUGCAAGCUGGGAUGUGAUGGAAUGGAGCGAUGGUUUUGGGCGGCCUCCAUUCCAACUGACCAAUAGCCGACAAACCGACAGUCGGGUCGAACGUCUUUAGCAGGCUGUCGACGGUUGUGGGCGGUCCGUGACUACUGGCGGUGACUAGGAAGAAGAGAUUGAUCGACGACCAUGAGGGUUUGGGUGGUAAUCGGGAAAGGGAG
rnacentral:lncRNA from 1 species